GACAUCCACUUCUUCCAGGGGGAAAGUAGGCGGAUGGGGGCAGAAAAACCAAACUCCCUCCAAGACAGUGCUUUGCAUAAGCAUUUUGCGACCCCCUCCCUUCAGCCCCGAACCUCCCCGUGGCACAAGGAAAAGGACUGUGGUUAAUUGCAGAUGCUGUCAGGAAGCCAGGUGCGUCCCCACUCCCCAGCCCUAAAAUCCAAAGAAAGAAGAGAUUGUUUGAGACGAUCUGAAGAAAGGUCAGGUCCUAACAGAUCAACGGGACCUUCUUUUUCACCUUCCUCGCCUUGGGUUCUGGAGCACGGGCGCUGGAUCAGCUGAAUGCGGCCUGGGCAUCUGGAAGUGGGCUUGAGGGACACCUCGCGGUGCAGCCCCCGGGACGACCUAGGACACUCUGGACACCCAGGCCGAGAGCCAGGACCCGCCCGCGCCUCCUCACUGCUGCUCGAGGGUAGGGAGGAGCGUGCGGACCCCGUGGGGGCUGAAGCGGGGCUCUGCUCCCCGCCCUGCGCAAGCCCCCGGCUCUGGUUGCUGGUCCACAAAAUCCGGAGGCUGAAUUAGACGGUCGGGUGGCCCCCAGCCUUAUAGCUUCGAUUUCUGUGGUCCUAUUUUAGACCCAGACUUGUUCCCGAAGGGAAGUGAAGAGCCGCGGAAGGCUUGGAGCGUGAACCAGAAAACAAUGGGUGGGGACGGUCUAACCAGCUCCCUUCCCUAGAAGGGCGGAAACGGCUUUCGAAGCACCCGCGUUUCUCUUUAUUGAAUCUUGAGUGACACCUAGUGGCCCAUCCGCCUCACCGUCACGGCGAUGCUGGUUUCACUGGACUUUUCAGAAGGUGUAACUUGCCUGCCCAUGGUUCUCUGCUAAAAGAAUUUGGAGCCUAGGGUGCCGAUGACGUUUCCUGGGACCUCCCGGAAGCACUUGCUGUCCCCUGUCAACAGCCCUGCACCUGCGAUGCAUGCAAUUCUAAUGAAAAUGCCCUUCGCGUCUGCAGAGCUUGCUUGAGCACAUCCUGAGCUCUCAGGCAGCAAAUAUAGAGUCGGGUGCUAUUCCGGGAGCUGGGCACGCAAAGAUGACCAAGGCUUGGUUUCUGAUCUCAAGAAUCUCACAGCCCAGCUGGGGGAAAAUGGACCAAUAAAAGAGUGUGCAUUGGACGCUAUGGGGCACAGGGGGUGGACCUAGCUCGGCCUAGAGUCAUUAAGAAAGACAAUCACCCUUGAGCUGAGUUUUGAAGAUUAGGCAGAAUUCUAAGAUGACCCCUGAAGAUUCUCAGCCCAUCCCCCUUGCAGGGUACACACACCUUUGCCCAGUUAUUCAAUCAAACAAUUUAGGGGCUCUGUGAAGAGAAUUUGCAGAUGGAAUUAAAGUUCCCAAAUUAAUUGAUCUUGAGAUCUGGAAAUGAUCCGGGGUGGGUCUAACCUAGCCAGGUGAACCUUUGAAAGGGACUGGAUUGUCCUGGCAGAAGAGAUUUGACAAGUGGCAAGAACUCAUCAUUGUCAAGAUUUUCUUUGCUGGCUUUAGAGAUGAAAGGGGCCACGUGACAAGGAAUGCAGGCUGAUGCCAAACCCCUGCCUGACAGCCAGCAGAGAAACUGGACUUCAGUCCUACCACUGCAAGAGCACUGAACUCUGACAACAAGCAGGGAGUUUGGAAGGGACCCCCAAGCUGUAUGAGACCUACUCCCAGCUGACACCUUGAUUUUAUCUCUGUAGGACCCUGAAUAGAGGACCCAGUCAUGCUGCAGUCAGGCUUCUGACCUCCAGAACUAUGAGCUAAUAAGUGGGUGUCUUAAGCUGCUAUAUUUGCAAUUUGUUAUGAAGUCACAGGAAACUGAUACAGAUGGUCAUUUCAAAGAGGGGAACCACAUGACAAAUGCUCAGAGCCAUAAAGAAGCAGAGAACUAAAGUCAUUCAGAGAACUAAAGACAUUCGGCAUAGCUGGACCAUGGGGAGCAAAGGAGAUGGUAUGAAAGCUAAUCUUUGAAGACACACUUAAUCAGUGAAAUGGUGAUUGUUGAAGGAGAAUUGUUGCCUGAUGCGCUAAUUUCUAAGUUGAAAAGGAACAUCAUUUUUGCAAUGAUAAAAUAGUGAUCUGUCCUUCCACACGGUGUUAAGACACUUCCCACAACUCCUCCACCCUUCUCAUUUAGGUAAGUACUAAAAUAAACAGGAAAAGGGAACUGUACCUCUUACCCUAUGCAACUGGCCCAGUGAAUUGAUUUCAACUUUGCAUUUGUGA